ACAAUGAGAUUUCAGUGCAUUCUCAGCCCAUGCUGCUUUAUUGCUAAAAUAUAUAUAUACACAGGUGCAGAGCUUCCAACUUUUUUAACAGUUCCUUUUUACAUCAAAGAAUUAAAUUUCUUCAAAAACCCCAAAGAUGCAUAGAUUAAGAAGCAAGCUGCCUUUUGUAAUACUUAAAAUAAUAUUCAAUGAAACUCUUAACGUUAUACACCAAUGGUGCAAUGGAGAAUAUGGAGGACAGCAAGUAAACACAGUGAGCAACUCUUAUUCUUACAAGGCAGUAGGUAAAGUAUAAUGUGAAGGACAGUCUAAGAUAAUCUUUCUGGUUAUAAGAAAUGGGUCGGUUUUGUGAUAAGUGCCAAGACUGUUACUGUUUAAGGAUUGAUGAUAAUGUAUUACCAGAAUACCUUUCUUAUCCCUGGGAGAAAAUAUUUUUUCACUGAUGGAAUGACAUAUCACCAAGGGAGAAAAAAACCUGAAUACUGUCAGUAACUAAGAUACCUAUUCUGACUUUAAAGAAGAUUUAGGACUUCAUGGAGAAAUCUGUGAUGUCUGGUUUCCCAAAAUUAAGUAUUUUAAUGUGCCUUAGUGGAAUAAUCGGAGGAAUUUAGAGAAACUCUGUUCUUAAUCUUUACUGGCUGACAGACAUGCUAUCAAGUAAUUGGGGAAGACAAACUAUAUUCAGGAUAUGACAUCUCACUUCAUAUAUUUCAAUGGAAACCAAACAUCACAGUCACAAGAAGUCUAAUUCAAUUCUGAACCACUGGAAAGUUACCAUUCCACUUUAUUCAUUCCCAAAGUUAUUUGUAGCAAAAUCCUACAGGAAAGAAUGAAAUAAAAAGUUUUCAAAAAAUUUUUUUCAAUCAUAGAAUGUAAAACCUUGAAUGUGCUUUGUGAAAAUCAUUUAGUCUAAUCUUGAAUUCUAUUUAGGCUUGUUUCAGACAUCAUGAAUGCCAUUUUUACGUCAUUUGUCACAAUCACUUGUACUUAUAUAAGGGUUAUUUUUAAAGUCAGGAAUUUUCUCAAGGAAAAUUUUAAGCUACUACAGGCCAGGUGCAGUGGCUCACACCUGUAAUCCCAGCACUUUGGAAGGCUAAGGGGGGGCGGAUCACGUAAGGCCAGGAGUUAAAGACCAGCCUGGCCAACAUGGCGAAACCCCGUCUCUACUAAAAAUACAAAAAUUAGCUGAGGGUGGUGGUGCAUGUCUGUAAUCCCAGCUACUCGGGAGGUGGAGGUUGCAGUGAGCUGAGAUCACAUUGCUUCACUCCAGCCUGGGCGACAGAGUGAGACUGUUUAAAAAAAAAAUUUUUUUAAGCUACUGCAAUAAAUUUGUUUAUUCAUCAAAUAAAAUAAAUAGCAAGGAUUUUCUUCUAUUGGAAAAAAUAGAUAGCAAGGAUUUUCUUCUAGUGGAAAAAGUUUCUCCUGUUUAACCUGGCAUUAAAAGCUUUAGUCAAGAAAUUGCAGUCUGGCCAAACCCAUCAAGGAUAAAACUUUGGCUAUAAAAUUUGUUUAAACUGUUUUUUAUGCAAUAAAAUAACAAACUAACCACAGAUCUGUCAGUAUUUUCAGGACUAUUCUACAAAAAGGAAGUCUCCCUUAUUGCAGGGGUACUUUAUAGUUGGUCAUUGGUAGUUGGUACCAGUAUCAUCCACAACAUGUGCCUAGUCAUCUGAAAAUCCUGAAAUAGUGGAAAUAUGUGCAUCCUGACUCUUUUCAACUCAAAUCCCAGUUUUAAAAGACCUCAAACUUUGUCUACAUAAAGCAUAUCAUAAACAAACCCCAUAUCCAUAUCUAGUUAUUUUACAUACUCCAUACUGGCAUUCCCUACUUUCCUACUCUUUCUGAAACUCUGCACCUUUCUGAUUAUUACAGCCAUAGCAGCUAGUUUUAUUCAGCAUGCUUAGUUUGUGUCUUUUGUUUUCAAACAUGCUUGGGGACUAAUGGAACCAGGCAAGUGGUUAGAGGGUGGGCACUGCUACGCCCUAGUCCUGACAGUUUGAAUGUCUUGUGGUUGCCCCUGUUUAUCUUCUACUUCCCAUUUUCAAUGGAAGUAAGAAAAAUCCUUUAUUAAAACAUGAAAAUAAUCUGAAUAUAUUCAAGCUAUUGGUCUUAGUCUCUAUUGCUUCAUUAUUAACAAAUGCAUAUAUAAAAUAACUAGUAACCACAACACUGGACAUUUUGAGUCAUGCAUUAGAAUGUUCGUACUCUAAAACCAGAGUUAAGGUCCUGUCACUAUUGCUUGCACUUUCAAUCAGACCCAGUUUGAGUUUAAUAAGCAUGCAAAAUAAAUUCCUUGAUUCAGAGGAAUUACGGGACAUAACAAGGAUCCAUGCAAGUUUCAACUCAAAAGUUGGGUUAAUAAUUGCUUAGAAAUGCAGGUAGAAGCUCCACAUCUAUCACAAUGCUGCUUCAGAAAAGGGAUAGGAGUCAUACACAAAAAUGUUAAAAUUAGGACCACUAGUCAGUUUUAAAAGGCUUAUAUGCAAAUCCUGGUCCAUCUGAGUAGAGAAUGAUGUACAAACUCUGGGAAAAGAAAGAGAAUUGAGGGAUGUAGAGUCUUAAGGAGCUGUUAAUUUUCUUCGUGAUUUACUGACAACUAUAACAGGAGAGCAUAGGUGGUUUAGGGGGAUGGUUAAGAUGCUCUUAGGCAGAAUGGUUUCUUUUCUGAUUCAUGCUAAUGAGCAUUACCUGCAUAGCUCCCUGGGGAAAAAAAUGAUAACGAGCAGGGCUAAUACAAUGUAAACUCAAGCUAUCAAUACCCUGAAAUUUAGCACAGCCCUCUGCUUUUUAAAACUGUUCACCAAGGGAUCCUUCCAAAUAGGAUAUAAUUAAUAGCCAAGCAAUGUUCAUUAAUAAACUAAAGCAAUCUGCUUGAACCAACAGCACCAUGAGAAUGUAAACUCCUGGAGGCCAAGAGUCUUCAUCUUUUUGCAUAUCACAGAUACAAGAAGAGUAAACAUGAGACCACAGUAACUUUGAAAAGUAAUUAACUGUAUACUUUCAAGACUAUGAAAAACUCGUAGUAUAUUUUAGCAUUUAGAUGUAUUAACAUGGCUGUUAAGGGUAAUCUUUAAUUGUUCCAAGUAACUGAACUGCUGACAUCAUUGUACUAUGUAGCGCUGUCCCCAGAUAGUGCAGAUGUCUGAAUAUUGCUUGGUUAUUCCCAUGUCUCUAAGACCAACUGACAGCAUAGGACAUUUUAAGAGGAGCUAUAAUCAACUUAACAUAGCCUUUUCCCUGUGUGUUAGUUGUCAUGUAAGAAUUAAAUAUUAAAGAGGCACUAUUUCUUAGAUCUACAUCACUUCGUUUUUUCCCUGGGAAAACAAAGACCCAGUCUUUUCAGGGAUAGUCAAGGUGCUAAAAGGCCAAGAUAGACAUCAGGUGAAAGGGAGUGAAGUCACCCUAGUUCCACUAUUAUAUUCUGAUGUGAGCUGUGUGGUUCCUCAGAUCAAGAAAGAAACUAGUUUGCUGAGUUCUCAUUGAUAAAGAAUAAGCAGUCACAGGCCAUAGGACACAUCUAUAUUAGACAAGGUUUCACACCUCACCCACUGAAACAUAUUCACUGGCUAUUCCUUUCAGUCCUUCUGCUUUGCAUCUUUAAAUCCUAACUCCCUAAUCAUAAGCAUGAGAGAAAUCCGGCUUAUCCAUGUUCUUGGGAGUUUUUUUAAAACAUUAAACUCACAAACUUCUCUCCCUUUAAAAAAAAUGUACCCAGGAAACCAGUGGAGAAAGAUGAGGAGACAAAGCAGAAAGUAUACCAUUCUACAAAAUAAAUGCCUGUUGCUAAAACAUCGUAAGCAAAAAACCCAUAGAGCGGCUUCAGUGGGGCUGUAGUACAUUUGUUUCCAGGUUAAGCACUAUAAAGGUUUAAUUUCAACAGCUCUAACCCUCUGAUUUAGGAAACAAGCAGGGUCUUUAACCUUUAACUUACAAAAAAGAUUAUUUCUCACAUAAAGAUAAAUUCAUAUACAUUCAUACUGUUCUAAAAGAAAGUACCUUUCAUAUGCUCUUUAUCCAGAACAUUUUUUCCUUUUGUGCAUUUUUUGUUUGUUUGAGGUGGAGUCUUACUGUCACCAGGCUGGAGUACAGUGGUGUGAUCUCAGCUCACUGCAACCUCCGCCUCUCAGGUUUAAGUGAUUCUACUGCCUCAGCCUCCUGAGUAGCUGGGAUUACAGGCAUGUGCCACCAUGCCCAGCUAAGUUUUGUAUUUUUAGUAGAGAUGGCAUUUCACCAUGUUGGCCAGGAUGGUCCUGAUCUCUUGACCUUGUGAUCCGCCCACCUUGGCCUCCCAAAGUGCUGGGAUUAUAGGUGUAAGCCACCGCACCUGGCCCUUGUGCAACUCUUGGUUGCAGAGCCCCACAAACUCCAGUAGUAUCACUUAUUCUAUUGUACAACCUUGCUAAUGCAAAUUACUAUACAUGCACAAACUUAUUGCUACUAAAAUUCUACCUCUUGAAAAUUACUAUUAAUUUUAUGGCUUUUUUUUUCAACAGGAAAUAUCCUUUCCUAUAUAUUGUGCUAUUCUGUAUUCACUACCUUUUCAGUUUUUUUUUUUUUUUUUUUUUUUUUUUUUAAGUUAAAUGCUUUUCAGUAAUGGAUUCUCCCAGGCACUAAACUACUUAAGCCAGGAGUAUAACUACUUCAAAUACACUAUGAGAACCUAAACUUGGGUCUCUGGAGAUCUGCUGCCAGAGUCUACUUGUUCUAACCUGUGUAUGCGCAAGAUACACCACAUUAUAAUAGUUUUGCAUUUGCUAUCAUACAUUAGUUAUGUAGAAUCUGUGUCAGCAAAUGCUGGACUCUCCCUAAUACUGAAAUUUAAAAAUCACCUCAGAAAACUGCCAGUUCUGAGUUCUCAAGGCAGCUUUUAGAGGUAGGAAUUCCUUCUCUACAGAAAGCUAUCUUAUUCUUUCAGAACAAAAUGACUGUUUUAUUUCCACAAGUAAAGUAGAUAAAAGUGAAAGCUGUCUGAGGCUUACUAUACCCAAGAGAAAGUCUACUCACUACGUAGCAACCUAGGUAGGUGCCACCCAGCUACAUUUCCAGUUCUCAUGAAAAGAUCUGAAAAUCCCAUCAAUAGACAAUUCAGCACAUUUGGAAAUAGGAAGAGCCCUAACAAAUAAUUGAAUACUCCAAAUUACUGAGUGUUUGCACACAGCAUGCUGCAAACAGGAAAUGUAAAUGGUCUGCAGAUUAGAAAAGCACUCACUGAAGCAAUUAACAGCAUCUCCAUAAGACAUGCAAAAUGUAAUUUCUUGACAUACAAGGAGUAGGAAAAUAAUGAAACUAAAAGACAUGCCAUGUUAAGACAUGAAAAGAGCAGGCCAGGUGGAUUACUUGAGGUCAGGAGUUUGAGACCAGCCUGGCCAACACAGCAAAACCCCGUCUCUACUAAAAAUAUAAAAAUUAGCUGGGCGUGGUGGCACGUGCCUGUAGUCCCAGCUACUCGGGAGGCUGGGGCACGAGAAUCACUUGAACCCAAGAGGCAGAGGUUACAGUGAGCAAAGAUUGUGCCACUGCACUCCAGCCUGGGUGACAGAGUGAAACUCUAUCUCCCCCCCACCCCAAAAAAAGAGCAAAGCAGAAUAAUUAAAUGCGGUCUCAUUUUGACUUGAGGUUUCAUAAGACACAAAGACAGCUGGUUUCCAGAUACCUUAUGGAAAGCUGAAAUGUCCUCAAAUAUAGUAUCUCAGAUUUUGACCCCACAUUUCUAUUCAUAAAUGAGUCUUUUGGGCCUUAAUCUCUUUUCCCCAGGAAGAAUAUAACAGAUUUAGACAUUAUGGAAAAAGAAAAGGUUUAGAUUUUCCACUCUUUUUACACUAUUUGUUAUUAUCAAUAAUUCAUCCUGAAGUUUAAAAUCACUAGACUCAUGCACUAACCCCUAACAUGGCACUACAAUAUGCUACCAAGCACUAAUGCUUACAAAACUAUACACAUCUCAAAAUGGAAGACAUUGGUGAUUUUGUUGUUCUUAAACAACUUGUAACAUUUGUCCACAAGUAUUAAAAUAUACAUAUAUAUAUAUAUAUUUCUAUUGCACAUAUCCCGGUUUUAACUUUUCAAAAGAAAAACUGCCAGCUAACAUGGAUGAGCAAGGGAAAGGAAGGAAGCAUGGCUACAAAUCGACGUAUAGUCCUGCCUAAAAUUAUAGCUUUUCCUAUCAAGGGGACCAAAAUAGACAAGAAAAAAAUGUAGAUGUGUUAAGUAAACACUGGGCAACUACAGCUGGAAUAUAUCCAUUUUGUUAAAUGCAUCUGGUCUGAAGCAUGGAAGAUACAAUUUCAAGAGCAUUAAACACUGGUUCUCUCAACUGUAUAUAAAGCAUAUAGAGACGCUGAGUCUGAUAGCUAUUCAAACAAGUGGGCCAGAGCUGGUUUCAAUGGUGCCAAAAGUACAGGUACUCUACCCCCUGCCAAAUGAUCCUACCAAAAAAGAUGCCAGAAGUACACAGAGAAGAUGGGUUUAACAGACACCUGGAAGGUGUCUCCAUUCUCCAUGAUAUGACAUUUUCAACAUACUAGUGGAACACCAUAUAUGUAGGCUCCAUUCUGUCUUGAACAGUUCCAAAAUAUUAAAGAAAAACAUCAGGAAGUUGGUAGAUUACUUAAGAGAAAAAUUUGAGUUACUUUUAACCAAAGUGAUUUCUACUAUGCUUUUAUCACUCAGUAGCUGCCCUCAAAAAAAGAAAUAUUUUAUAUAUAAUAUGUAAUUAUUUUACUGAAAGUAUUUUUUACCCAUUUCAAAUGGGCUGAUUGACCAAUCUCACUAAUAAUAAGAGUGCUCACCAUUUCCCAUUUUAGGCCAUUUUUAUCACUCUCAAAUUUUGGUGAAUCUUCCCUAAGUUCCCAGCAUCACAGCAUUCAUGGACCUGAGUAAACAUUCCGGAAAACACAGAGAUGUUCCAAUACUCUGUUCUUAAUUUCAUCUAAUUAGUUUUAAAAUUUAUUCUCUACUCACAAGAAGCAUAAAUAAAGGUUUCACUCUUAUAUAAAGACCUGACAAUACAUACAAUGGUCCUCUGCUGAUUUGGAAGCAAAGACAGUUUUCUACGACAGUCUGUUCUUUAUAAUGUAUAACUGUUGUGGGAAAAAAGAAAAUCCAUUUCUUAUUGUAAUUAUUUUUCUUAUUUGAGGUUUCUUUUCCACGAUGACCCAACCACAAGUUUGGGAACAUUGCUUCUGAGGCCCAUUCUCUGAUGAGAAAGUUCAGUCCCAACUGGGGAAAGUACCUGAGUCCCAGCCUUUUCAGCCUAGAAAUCAGGCUGAGCGUGGUGGUGCGCGCCUGUAAUCCUAGCUACUUGGGAGGCUGAGGCAGGAGAAUCGCUUGAACCCGGGUGGGAGAGACUGCAGUGAGCAGAAAUCACGCAUCACUCCAGCCUGGGCAACAGAGAGAGACUGCCUCAAAAAAUAAAUAAAUAAAUAAAUAAAAAUCAAACAUCCAAGUAUCCACCUUGGGUUGCAGGAAGAGUUAAUCUUAUGCGUUUAUUAAAAAAAGUAACUAUAUAAUGUGAAACACCAUAAAGUCAGAUGGCACUGCAUGAGGGAUUUUUGCUUCUUUUUCUUAAGGAAAAGGAGUUACAUGGAAAAUUCUCUCAUCCUCCCCCCUCUGCCCCCAACUCCUCUAUGUCCAAAGUUGUUUUUUAUUUUUCUGAGACGGAGUCUCACUCUGUCGCCCAGGCUGGAGUGCAGUGGUGCAAUCUCAGUUCACUGCAACCUCCGCCUCCCGGAUUCAAGCAAUUCUCCUGCCUCAGCCUCACGAGUAGCUGGGAUUACACGUAUCUACCACCACACCUGGCUAAUUUUCUAUUUUUAGUAGAGAUGGGGUUUCUCCAUGUUGGUCAGGCUGGUCUCAAACUCCCAACCUCAGGUGAUUUGCCUGCCUUGGCCUCCCAAAGUGUUGGGAUUACAGGUGUGAGCCACCACACCCGGCCUAGGUUUUUGUUUAAAAUUGGGCCUUUGUUCCUAUUCAGUAAAUCUAUGUCACAGGAUGAGCCAGGAUUUAAAUAUACAAAUAUAAAUUUUUAGUAUCUUUCACGUCAAAUUAGAAACACAUAUUUGGAAUUUACUGCUGCAGUCUCAACUGUGCUUAUCAUGGUAGUGGCUGAAACUGGAAGACAUUUUUUUUAAACCCUGAAGUCAUUCAUACUUGCUACUUCUUUAGUCUUCUUGCUUGGAAUGAAAAGUAUUCACAAAUACCACCACCUAAGCACCUGUUUCAAAUGAAACUCAGCCUUCUGCUUGCAAAAUGAUGUCUUUAUAAUUAAGCAAACAGCAAAAGACCCAUGUGAGUUGCUUCUUUCUUCCUGGAGAUGUUAGCAGGAUAACUGGAAUCCUAGGAGCUCCUCUGUGUUGAAUUUGAGAGGCAGAACAAAAAGAAAAGUGGCCUUUUCCAUUCCAAAUCAUGGAGGUAAUGUGUAGAGAAGUGAUAGCCACAUUUCAAAAACGGGAAAGUAACUGGGUAAAAGAAGCAGGACUACCCACUCUAGGAGACAACAUAGAGACACCUAGAAAUACAAAAUAAAAACAGAAAGAUUAGGACAGGUACUUUUGCAUAAGCUGACUCAAAACAAUAUCUAAAAUGUAAAGAAAAGAAUAGGCCGGGUGCAGUGGCUUACAUCUGUAAACCCAGCACUUCGGGAAGCCGAAGUGGGUGGAUCACCAGGUCCGGAGUUCAAGACCAGCCUGGCCAACAUGGUGAAACCCCGUCUCUACUAAAGAUACAAAAAUUAGCUGGGCGUGGUAACGGGUGCCUGUAGUCCCAGCUACUCAGGAAGCCGAGGCAGGAGAAUCGCUUGAACCUGGGAGGCAGAGAUUUCAGUGAGCCAAGAUUGCAUCAGUGCACUCCAGCCCAGGCAACAGAACGUGACUCCGUCUCAAACAAACAAACAAACAAACAAAAAAAAGAAUAUUUUGGAUUACAUAUUAUCUAGAAGAAAAUGACCAACCAUAACACCAAAUUCAGUACUAUUAUCAGAAAAGCAAUAACAGCUAGAAAAAAAAAAUACAAGCAUGAUACAAAAAAAGCUGGAUUUAUACAAGCAUGAUACAAAAAACUUUUGCAUAUAAAACAUUUUUUUUUGUUUGUUUUUGUUCUUUCUUUGAGACAAAGUCUUACUCUGCUGCCCAGGCUGGAGUGCAGUGCUGUGAUCUCAGCUCAUUGCAACCUCUGCCCCCUGGGUUCAAGUGAUUCUCCUGCCUUAGCCUCCCAAGUAGCUGGCAUUACAGGCAUGUACCACCACACCCGGCUAAUUUUUGUAUUUUUAGUAGAAACGGGGUUUCACCAUGUUGGCCAGGCUGGGUUCAAACUCCUCACCUCAAGUGAUCCACUCGCCUCAGCCUCCCAAAGUAUUGGGAUUACAGGCGUGAGCCACUGGGCCCGGCCACAUUUGUGUUUUAAAGUAGCACUGAGCCAGGUGCAGCAGCUCACACCUGUAAUCCCAGCACUUUGGGGAGGCUGAGGCAGGGGGAUCCCUUGAGCCCAGGAAUUGGAGACCAGCCUGGGCAACAUAUCAAGACCCCACUCUACAAAAAAUAAAAAAUUAGCAGGGCGUGGUGGUGCCCUCUUGUGGUCCCAGCUACUUUGGAGGAGGCUGAAGCAGGAGGAUCGCUUGAGCCCUGGAGGUUGAGGUUGCAGUGAGCCAUGAUUGCACCACUGCACUCAGCUUGGGCAACAGAGUGAGACUCUGUCUCCAAAAAAUAAAAAUGAAAAAUAAGGUAGCACUGCAUCUUCGCUUGCACCUCCUAUCAAAAGAAAAAAGAAACAAAAAUAAACACAAGUAGCACUGUACUCCAAAUUUGAUAUCUAAAUAUAUAAUACUCAAAACCAUAUAUAUCUUACUCUGAAUCACCUUCAACUACCAGCAAUAAACGGUAUUUUAUAAAAUAUAACUGUAAGUAAAAUAUAUACUGUUCCAUUAUCACCAAAUGUAAACAUGUAAAUACUAAAUCAAGGCCAGGCACAGUGGCUCACGCCUAUUUUUUAAUCAUUUGAUUUCCUUCAAUCUAAUUAAAUAUGUGUCUGUUUUCUUUAGACAGUGAAAAUUAUUGGUAGUUUGAGCAAAUGAUCAAGAUUACUCCUUUUUAUUUAAUACAUUUCUUUUGUUGAAAAAUAAAAGAUUUAACUUAAAUUUCAAUAGCUUACAGUCAUUUUUCAUGUUCGUCUUCUGCUGAAGCUAACGGCUUAUUGUUCCACUUCUAUGUACCUGUUUUCAAGCUACUUAAACAGUAUUUGGAACGAUUAGCCCACAAUUACUUACUUGCCAAGUCCUGAGUUCAGAAUUUUGUUUUUGAGAUGAAUAUAAAAGCACCUAAAGGUCAAGGAAAAUUUUCUUCCUGUGAUAAGGAACCU
rnacentral:lncRNA from 1 species